rnacentral:rRNA from 1 species
UGGGGAAUAUUGGACAAUGGGCGAAAGCCUGAUCCAGCAAUGCCGCGUGUGUGAAGAAGGCCUGCGGGUUGUAAAGCACUUUAAGCGGGGAAGAAAGGCGGGAGGCUAAUACCCUCUUGCACUGACGUUACCUGCAGAAUAAGCACCGGCUAACUCCGUGCCAGCAGCCGCGGUAAUACGGAGGGUGCGAGCGUUAAUCGGAAUUACUGGGCGUAAAGCGCGCGUAGGCGGUUUGUUAAGUCAGCUGUGAAAGCCCUGGGCUCAACCUGGGAAUGGCAGUUGAUACUGGCGAGCUUGAGUGUGGUAGAGGGGUGUGGAAUUUCCGGUGUAGCAGUGAAAUGCGUAGAGAUCGGAAGGAACACCAGUGGCGAAGGCGGCACCCUGGACCAACACUGACGCUGAGGUGCGAAAGCGUGGGGAGCAAACAGGAUUAGAUACCC